rnacentral:rRNA from 1 species
AUUGAACGCUGGCGGCGGGCCUAACACAUGCAAGUCGAGCGGAUGAAGGGAGCUUGCUCCUGGAUUCAGCGGCGGACGGGUGAGUAAUGCCUAGGAAUCUGCCUGGUAGUGGGGGAUAACGUCCGGAAACGGGCGCUAAUACCGCAUACGUCCUGAGGGAGAAAGUGGGGGAUCUUCGGACCUCACGCUAUCAGAUGAGCCUAGGUCGGAUUAGCUAGUUGGUGGGGUAAAGGCCUACCAAGGCGACGAUCCGUAACUGGUCUGAGAGGAUGAUCAGUCAUACUGGAACUGAGACACGGUCCAGACUCCUACGGGAGGCAGCAGUGGGGAAUAUUGGACAAUGGGCGAAAGCCUGAUCCAGCCAUGCCGCGUGUGUGAAGAAGGUCUUCGGAUUGUAAAGCACUUUAAGUUGGGAGGAAGGGCAGUAAGUUAAUACCUUGCUGUUUUGACGUUACCAACAGAAUAAGCACCGGCUAACUUCGUG